AGAGACGUUGCCGGUUUGCCGCCAUUGGUACAGAGCUCGAGCCUGGCCUGAGGAAUCCAACCCUUGCCCUCGCGAUGGAGGGAUUGAAGGUGUGGGAUGCGGGCUUGGUGGUGCGCGUCCAUCCCUCGAAGGGCAACCGAAUGCGUGAGGCGAUCCUCCGGGAGCUCAGCCGUCACCUCUUCCAGUUCAAUGAAAUUUUUGGUGGAGUACUGUUGGCUUACGAUGUCGAUAUUGUCAAUAAAGAUGCAAAGAUUAUGCCACUGAUGCAACCAAACCAUGGCGUGAGACUCAGGGCGAAGCUGCUGUUUUUUUCUCCCAAGCCAAAUAUGUUACUGGAGGGGAAGGUUGUAAAGCUUACACCAGAAUCCAUCCAUGUCAUUGUUCUUGGUUUUACAUCUGCUGUAAUAAUUGAUGAAGAUAUUCGUGAAGACUUUGAAUUUAGAACUAAGCACGGUAAGGAAGUAUAUCGCAGCAAAGCUCACAGGCAACACGUUAUAAAGGUUGGAACCAUGAUACGCUUUCUGGUUAAGAGUUUGAAUGAGGAAAUACUGCAUAUUUGUGGUUCCCUAAGACCAACCAACACAGGAAGCAUUCAUUGGUUGGAUAAAGAUUUUGAAGAAAUAUCCCUCAUUGAUAGGAGUGGUACAAAAAAAGAGAGCGAGAAUGAAAUGAAGAUGCAGGAGCAUUCUAUGGCAGGAGGGGAAGAAAUUUCCUUAGGCAAUGAUCAAAUUAAAAAGUCCAAGAAACGAAGAUUAAGAGAAGAGUCUUAAAUGUGGGAUUUUGUCAAGUGCGGGUUGUUUCAUUUGCUUACAGCAUGUAUUUAUUGAUGCACGAGAUGGUUCCAUGGUGUAAAAGUUGGAGAAUUUAGAGCUCAACAAAUGAAGAAUUCAUGCGAGAGCUUAUAUAAGGUUUGAAAAGCAUGACUGAGAAGAUGUAGGGGCAGGAAUUUCAUUUCUGAUUUGAUGGUUUGAGUUCUUCCCAGUUGAACAAUCGAUCUGAGGGAUGGAUCUUUCUAUGGGUUUACCUAUGGUGCCAUAUUUUGGAUUUUAUUCUUCCGGCAUUUGGGAUUCUAUGGCAAGGCUUGUUAUUCUUUAUCAAGACCAUAUAUGCUGAAAUUUCACACUUUAUUUCUGAGUUUAUAUGUUAUUUUUCCUGCAGGUGUUUUUACUUAAUUAUUCCCCACACAGAACUUUAGAUUCUCUGCCCAUAACCAGGUGGGAAGGUCGAAGAAUUCAGAUCAAUGGAGACAACGACUGGGUGAAAUCAUCUUGUGAUAUAUCAUGUUAGCUUUGAUCAUUCAAUCCAGGCUACAGUAUUAUACACAUCCUUAGGCAUAAAACUCUUGCCAUAAAUUUAGAUCCCAAUAGAUACAGUUGGGCCCUGAGUACCUUAUAUUUGUCCAGUGAAUUGUUCUUGGUUGUUGGUCUAUGCUUUGCCCAUUCAAGAAGCUAAUUGUAUACUGAGCCUAUAUUUGAGAUGCUUUUCCCCA